AACGACUCUCGGCAACGGAUAUCUCGGCUCUCGCAUCGAUGAAGAACGUAGCGAAAUGCGAUACUUGGUGUGAAUUGCAGAAUCCCGCGAACCAUCGAGUCUUUGAACGCAAGUUGCGCCCGAAGCCACCAGGCUGAGGGCACGUCUGCCUGGGCGUCACGC
rnacentral:rRNA from 2 species